GCUUUCCAGCUGUGACUUCUGACACUCCAUUGAUCAACUGGUUUGAAUGGUUGGGUGUCUCCUUUGUACCUCACUGCUCCGUGUGUGUCUCUCUCAAAGCUGCCUGAUGGAUCAAAGAGAACCUUCCUCAACAGUAAAGGACCAUUUUCCAGCCCAAGUGUGUUUUGGUUAGUUGCUGCAUGGCCCUGCUAAAACCUCCAAACAAGUGCUGUAAGGGAUUAGACUGUGAGAAGAUGAAAUGUUAUGAGGAAGAGAGUAUUUGAAG
rnacentral:snRNA from 1 species